GGAUUUUAGGAAAAACAAAUCGUUGGGCGUUGGCACAGGCUGCUCAGGGAGCUGCUAGAAGCACCACGACUGGAGAUGUUCAGGGAACGUAGAGGUGCUGUGAAGCUGCAAUCAGACUGUGCUGUGGUAAAGAAGAGAAAGCAGCAGCUGUGUUCUGACGUUGGCCUUGUACUUCACUAUGGGAUCUUAGUCAAGGCCUCCUUUCAUGAGUAACUGAGCUGUGUUACAGCCGUGCGAACCCAGGGGCAGUGUGAGGACCCAGCCUUGUGUGCACAUCUGGUGCUGCUUUACUCACGUUCUCCCACUCAGAAAGUCUGAUGAUAAAGACCUUAGGAAAGGAGUACAUCUCAGUGCUAGAGAAACCGGCCUGGAUUCUGUUAAUGAAACAUUUUCUCUGCGAGACAAGACGACUCGGUGAUCCUUGUUUAUAGCAACUAUACUUUUAAGAAUGGAAGUGUGGGGAGUAAGGCCAUCACUUUGCAAGACACAUUUUUAUGGAGUUGAUCCAAGAUCCCGGGGAUCAAGUCUUCAGUUGAGGCAGCACGGGAGACAGAUACUUGAUCUCCCCUCACCUGUGAUGUGCUGCAGCCUGCUACCUGGCAAGGAAUGUCUACAGGAAUAAAACUUACAGAAUUAUGUUAUGGGUAGGCUUCUGAAAUUUCAAGACAAUCUACUUUCAUGGCUGCAAUUCCUAUCUCCUCAAAUAAAGCCAGGCUGAAUGACAUUUAACUGCCUUCAUAAAGCUCAGAACUUCGCGUGAUUUGGUAAGUGGAAUUAUUACAUUGUCUUGUCUCAGUUUGUGUAUAGUUUUUGUGAAAGCUAAAGGCUCAUACUUUCUCUGCACCUCCUCCUCUACAAACUAUUUCUGAGUGUGGCCCUUUGGAAUCUGAAAGUUGUACUUAUUCACUUAGUAAUAACGGUAAUAGUGCCAAUAACAAUAGGAAGUCCACAGGAGUUCUGAGAUGAUCCAAAAAUAGUUGGGUUACAGCAACAAGGAACAUCAUUUGAGCUUAAAAAAAACCAAAAAGCAAUCAACAACAAAAAACAACAAAGUUCUAGUUCAGUUUGUUCUGGAAUGUUACAAGAGGCAGUGUGCUUCCUGCAAGUGUAACUAACAUUAUUUCUAGUAAUCAGUGCUUUGUCUGUAAGAGAAAACCUGUUUGAGAGACUCUGUACGAAUGAAAAAAAGGUCAGUGGGCUGACUGUAGCUGAGAGGAGCAAAGUGUCAGUGCUGGAACAGUAUGGUAACAUGACUUGAGUAGCCUAAGCCAGCUGCAGUCCAUGGCCCUCUUGUACAUCUGAGACAGUGGGUACAUUUCUUGAAGCUUUAAGUAAUUGUUAUCACGAGCCAAAAAAAACCCCAACAGGUUGAGCACCUU